rnacentral:rRNA from 1 species
UACGUAGGGUGCGAGCGUUGCCCGGAUUUAUUGGGCGUAAAGGGCGCGUAGGCGGCUCUGCACGUCCGUUGUGAAAUCGCCCGGCUCAACUGGGCGGGGUCAGCGGAUACGGCGGAGCUUGAGCAAGCUAGGGGGCAAUGGAAUUCCCGGUGUAGUGGUGGAAUGCGUAGAUAUCGGGAGGAACACCAGUGGCGAAGGCGGCUACCUGGACCAGCAUUGACACUCAAGCACGAAAGCGUGGGGAGCAAACAGG